rnacentral:sRNA from 1 species
UUUUUGCGUGAGGGGUUGCAGUGAAGCUCUUUUUUUAUCCCAUUUUUUUAUGGGAUAAAAAAAAGCGGGAACGUAAAACCCGACCCGAA